AUUGAACGCUGGCGGCAGGCCUAACACAUGCAAGUCGAACGAGUGGCGGACGGGUGAGUAAUGUCUGGGAACCUGCCCGAUGGAGGGGGAUAACUACUGGAAACGGUAGCUAAUACCGCAUACCAUCGGAUGUGCCCAGAUGGGAUUAGCUAGUAGGUGGGGUAACGGCUAACCUAGGCGACGAUCCCUAGCUGGUCUGAGAGGAUGACCAGCCACCAUGGAACUUAUACACGGUCCAGACUCCUACGUGAGGCAGGAGUGGGGAAUAAUGCACAAUGGGCGUAAGCCUGAUGCAGCCAUGCCGCGUGUAUGAAGAAGGCCGUCGGGUUGUAAAGUACUUGCAGCGAGGAGGCGUUACUCGCAGAAGAAGGACCGGCUAACUCCGUGCCAGCAGCCGCGGUAAUUC
rnacentral:rRNA from 1 species